rnacentral:rRNA from 1 species
AACGAACGCUGGCGGCAGGCUUAACACAUGCAAGUCGAGCGGAGUGAUGGUGCUUGCACUAUCACUUAGCGGCGGACGGGUGAGUAAUGCUUAGGAAUCUGCCUAUUAGUGGGGGACAACAUCUCGAAAGGGAUGCUAAUACCGCAUACGUCCUACGGGAGAAAGCAGGGGAUCACUUGUGACCUUGCGCUAAUAGAUGGGCCUAAGUCGGAUUAGCUAGUUGGUGGGGUAAAGGCCUACCAAGGCGACGAUCUGUAGCGGGUCUGAGAGGAUGAUCCGCCACACUGGGACUGAGACACGGCCCAGACUCCUACGGGAGGCAGCAGUGGGGAAUAUUGGACAAUGGGGGGAACCCUGAUCCAGCCAUGCCGCGUGUGUGAAGAAGGCCUUAUGGUUGUAAGGCACUUUAAGCGAGGAGGAGGCUCUUUUGGUUAAUACCCAAGAUGAGUGGACGUUACUCGCAGAAUAAGCACCGGCUAACUCUGUGCCAGCCGCCGCCGUAA